rnacentral:rRNA from 1 species
AGCGAACGCUGGCGGCAGGCUUAACACAUGCAAGUCGAACGGGCAUCUUCGGAUGUCUGCGGCAGACGGGUGAGUAACACGUGGGAACGUACCCUUCGGUUCGGAACAACUCUGGGAAACUGGCGCUAAUACCGGAUACGCUCUUAUGGGGAAAGGUUUACUGCCGAAGGAUCGGCCCGCGUCUGAUUAGCUAGUUGGUAGGGUAACGGCCUACCAAGGCGACGAUCUGUAGCUGGUCUGAGAGGAUGAUCAGCCACACUGGGACUGAGACACGGCCCAGACUCCUACGGGAGGCAGCAGUGGGGAAUAUUGGACAAUGGGCGCAAGCCUGAUCCAGCCAUGCCGCGUGAGUGAUGAAGGCCUUAGGGUUGUAAAGCUCUUUUGUCCGGGACGAUAAUGACGGUACCGGAAGAAUAAGCCCCGGCUAACUUCGUG